rnacentral:rRNA from 1 species
AUUGAACGCUGGCGGAAUGCUUUACACAUGCAAGUCGAGCGGCAGCGCGGGGGCAACCCUGGCGGCGAGCGGCGAACGGGUGAGUAACACAUCGGAACGUACCCAGUGGUGGGGGAUAGCCCGGCGAAAGCCGGAUUAAUACCGCAUACGACCUGAGGGGGAAAGUGGGGGACCGCAAGGCCUCACGCCGUUGGAGCGGCCGAUGUUCGAUUAGCUAGUUGGUAGGGUAAAGGCCUACCAAGGCGACGAUCGAUAGCUGGUCUGAGAGGACGACCAGCCACACUGGAACUGAGACACGGUCCAGACUCCUACGGGAGGCAGCAGUAAGGAAUAUUGGUCAAUGCCCGGAAGGGUGAACCAGCCAUCCCGCGUGAAGGAUGAAGGGGCUCUGCCUUGUAAACUUCUUUUGUAUGGGGCGAAAAAAGGGGAUUUAUACCUCGACUGACGGUACCAUAAGAAUAAGCAACCGGCUAACUCCGUGCCAGCAGCCGCGGUAAU